CGAGGGGUCAAAGGAGGCGACUCCGGCAUAGGAUGGCCAUGCGUCGCAUUAGCUAGUCGGCGGGGUAACGGCCCACCGAGGCGACGAUGCGUAGGGGUUCUGAGAGGAAGGUCCCCCACACUGGUACUGAGACACGGACCAGACUCCUACGGGAGGCAGCAG
rnacentral:rRNA from 1 species